UACACACCGCCCGUCACACCACGAAAGUGGGUCAUACCAGAAGUCGGUAUCUUAACCGCAAGGAGAGAGCCGCCCAAGGUAUAGUUCAUGAUUGGGGUG
rnacentral:rRNA from 1 species